GCGGUUGUGGCUCAGUGGUAGAGCACUCACCCAGCAUGGGUGAGGCACUGGGUUUGAUCCCCAGCACCACA
rnacentral:tRNA from 1 species